GUGCUAACACAGAUCUGGAUAUUUAGUCUGGAAAUUAACUUAUUCUAGUUGCAGAUAAAAUUUUCAGCAUUUUAAGGAUUUGAUUAUAAAGGGACCUUGGUUUGAUAUGAGAAAUGAAAGUGAAAUAAUCACUGUGUAGCAUGUGAAACUCAACCCAAAUAAAGUCCCAAGACAUCAUAUCAUGAUCAUAGAAUGGACAGGAUCUGCCUCCUCGCUGGGUGAAACCACUUCGAGAACAGCAACCUCUGGUGACAGGCUGCAGUAUAGGUCAUAAAUCCUGCCUCCACCAGCAAAGGCUUGUGGGGAUGUUGGUCUCAGUUAUUCUCUCACUGUGGACAACAGAGGAGAAGAGCUGAGCUUAAGAGCGUAGGUGGUCUCUAAAGACCUGAGUCUUGAGCUUUUUCUUAAAGGUAGAAAGGGACUCUGUGGAUCUGAUAGAGUUUGGUCAUUUAUUCCACCAUCACCAAAGGCUAACAGAGGAGAAGAUUCUGGGGAGUGACGAAAGGCCUUUUGUGAUGGGAGCACCAGACACAGUCCAGUGGCAGAGCAUUACAUGUGGGAGAGAGUUUAGACCUGCAUGAGGGACGACAAGGUUGGCAGGAGCUGAUUGAAGGCAGGAAGUAGGGCCUUAUAUUUCAUGACAGCUGCUACUGGAAACCAGUGGAGAGAGAUGAACAGUAAAGUGAUGAGCUGAUUCAGGUUGGUGAAAAACUGGACAGGCUGCUUCAUUUUGGUUCAUCUCCAGAGGUUUGACUGUCCUACAGGGAGGCCUGCCAGUGAGGAGAUGCAGUUGUCAAUGUGUUUACAGUAGAAACAUGGCAGUGUGAGAUGGUGACCUUGUGUGUCGAUAUAAAAGGCUCAUUCUAAAUAAGCAAAAACAAAAAAGUAACACUUUAUUUGAAGGGUUGACAUAACACUGACAAUACGCUGUCAUAAUCAUGACAUAACCCCUGUCAUCAACAUGAAUAUGGCUUAAUUAGGUUAUCAAUAAGUGUCACUAUGACACCUUUAGUGCUAUUAUAAUGACAGUGCCUUUUCAAACAAUGUCAACAUAGACCAAAGGUGUCAAAGUUUACUGAAUGAUACAGACCACCCAUACAGGAAGUGACAGAACAGGCUACUUCCUUAGGAGGCUGUGGUCUUUUAACAUCUUCAAGAGACUCCUGUGGAUGCUGUAUCAGUCUGUGGGUGCCAUACUCUCUUUGCUUUUCAGCUCUGGAGGUUGUGACUUGUUAUUGAGGGGUUUGCAAACUCCAAAUUAAUAAACCUUUACAGAGGACACCCUUGGCUUUUUUAACUUUCAGGCCCAUUUCCUUGUUACCUGACACUGGACUCUCUGGUGACGGUGGAGGAGAACUGAGGACAAACUACUGGAGAUUAUGGAUGAUGCCAGUCAUCCUCUGCACACCAUCAUCAUCAACUUAAGUGACAGUCCGCUCCUUCCUGUUGGAGGUGAGAAAACACAUUUUGUACUACGUUUAUGUCAUUUCCUCGUUCUCUUCCUGCUGGUCUAAUGUGCAAAGAAGGAGCAUGCAUCAAAACACUGAGACGAAACAUGAGUGACUGGUGCUUUUCUUAGUCACUUUUUAAGUCACUGCGAGAUAAAAUGAUCAAUAACAUUUUAUUAGAUCUUUAAUCUUUAUAUAUAGUGCUUUUUAUUUCUUACUUAUUUAAACAUUAUGUUUUGUUUGUAAAUACUGAUGCUGCUGGAAUUUUAAUUUCGAUGGAUGAACCUUCCCAAAAGGAUCAAUGAAGUCUAUCU